rnacentral:rRNA from 1 species
AGUGAACGCUGGCGGUAGGCCUAACACAUGCAAGUCGAACGGCAGCACAGUAAGAGCUUGCUCUUACGGGUGGCGAGUGGCGGACGGGUGAGGAAUACAUCGGAAUCUACUUUUUCGUGGGGGAUAACGUAGGGAAACUUACGCUAAUACCGCAUACGACCUACGGGUGAAAGCAGGGGAUCUUCGGACCUUGCGCGAUUGAAUGAGCCGAUGUCGGAUUAGCUAGUUGGCGGGGUAAAGGCCCACCAAGGCGACGAUCCGUAGCUGGUCUGAGAGGAUGGUCGGCCACACUGGAACUGAGACACGGUCCAGACUCCUACGGGAGGCAGCAGUGGGGAAUAUUAGACAAUGGGCGCAAGCCUGAUCCAGCCAUACCGCGUGGGUGAAGAAGGCCUUCGGGUUGUAAAGCCCUUUUGUUGGGAAAGAAAAGCAGCAGGUUAAUACCCCGCUGUUCUGACGGUACCCAAAGAAUAAGCACCGGCUAACUUCGUG